rnacentral:rRNA from 1 species
GAUGAACGCUGGCGGCGUGCCUAAUACAUGCCAGUCGAGCGAACGGACGAGAAGCUUGCUUCUCUGAUGUUAGCGGCGGACGGGUGAGUAACACGUGGAUAACCUACCUAUAAGACUGGGAUAACUUCGGGAAACCGUAGCUAAUACCGGAUAAUAUUUUGAACCGCAUGGUUCAAAAGUGAAAGACGGUCUUGCUGUCACUUAUAGAUGGAUCCGCGCUGCAUUAGCUAGUUGGUAAGGUAACGGCUUACCAAGGCAACGAUGCAUAGCCGACCUGAGAGGGUGAUCGGCCACACUGGAACUGAGACACGGUCCAGACUCCUACGGGAGGCAGCAGUAGGGAAUCUUCCGCAAUGGGCGAAAGCCUGACGGAGCAGCGCCGCGUGAGUGAUGAAGGUCUUCGGAUCGUAAAACUCUGUUAUUAGGGAAGAACAUAUGUGUAAGUAACUGUGCACAUCUUGACGGUACCUAAUCAGAAAGCCACGGCUAACUACGUG